rnacentral:rRNA from 1 species
GACAGAGGUGCCGAGCGUUAGGCGGAAUCACUGGGCUUAAAGCGUGUGUAGGCGGAUCGUUAAGUACCUUGUGAAAUCCCACGGCUCAACCGUGGAACGGCUGGGUAUACUGGCGAUCUUGAGCGAUCUAGGGGCAGAUGGAACAAGUGGUGGAGCGGUGAAAUGCGUAGAUAUCACUUGGAACGCCAAAGGUGAAGACAGUCUGCUGGGGAUCUGCUGACGCUGAGACACGAAAGCCAGGGGAGCGAACAGGAUUAGAUACCCUGGUAGUCC